GUGCCAGCAGCCCGCGGUAAUACGUAGGGCGCAAGCGUUAUCCGGAAUUAUUGGGCGUAAAGAGCUUGUAGGCGGUUCGUCGCGUCUGGUGUGAAAGCCCAUCGCUUAACGGUGGGUCUGCGCCGGGUACGGGCGGGCUAGAGUGCGGUAGGGGAGACUGGAAUUCCCGGUGUAACGGUGGAAUGUGUAGAUAUCGGGAAGAACACCAAUGGCGAAGGCAGGUCUCUGGGCUGUUACUGACGCUGAGAAGCGAAAGCGUGGGGAGCGAACAGGAUUAGAUACCCUGGUAGUCAAGGGCG
rnacentral:rRNA from 1 species